AGCUAAUAGAUACCCGGGUAGUCCACGCCCUAAACGAUGUCUACUAGUUGUUGGUGGAGUAAAAUCCAUGAGUAAACGCAGCUAAACGCGUGAAGUAGGCCGCCUGGGGAGUACGGUCGCAAGAUUAAAACUCAAAGGAAUUGACGGGGGCCCGCACAAGCGGUGGAUUAUGUGGAUUAAAUUCGAUGCAACGCGAAAAACCUUACCUGGCCUUGACAUGCCACUAACGAAGCAGAGAUGCAUUAGGUGCCCGUAAGGGAAAGUGGAUACAGGUGCUGCAUGGCUGUCGUCAGCUCGUGUCAUGAGAUGUUGGGUUAAGUCCCGCAACGAGCGCAACCCUUGCCAUUAAUUGCCAUCAUUUAGUUGGGCACUUUAAUGGGACUGCCGGUGACAAACCGGAGGAAGGUGGGGAUGACGUCAAGUCCUCAUGGCCCUUAUGGCCAGGGCUUCACACGUAAUACAAUGGUCGGUACAGAGAGUUGCCAACCCGCGAGGGGAGCUAAUCUCAGAAAGCCGAUCGUAGUCCGGAUUGUUCU
rnacentral:rRNA from 1 species